UACGUAGGAUCCAAGCGUUAUCCGGAAUUACUGGGCGUAAAGCGUACGUAGGUGGAGAUUUAAGUGAGAUGCGAAAUCUGGCGGCUCAACCGUCUAGACUGUGUCUCAUACUGGGUUUCUUGAGGUUGGCAGAGGCAAGUGGAAUUUCCGGUGUAGCAGAGAAAUGCGUAGAGAUCGGAAGGAACACCAAUGGCGAAGGCAGCUUGCUGGGCCACACCUGACACUGAGGUACGAAAGCGUGGGGAGCGAACAGG
rnacentral:rRNA from 1 species